AUCGCUUCUUGGCCUUUUGGCUAAGAUCAAGUGUAGUAUCUGUUCUUAUCAGUUUAAGAAAAUACAAAAGUUAGCUGGGCGUGGUGGCAUGUGCUUGUAAUCCCAGCUACUUGGGAGGCUGAGGCAGGAGAAUUGCUU
ensembl:snRNA U2 U2 spliceosomal RNA